UCGACGGUCCUGUGACCAGCCGAAGGAUC
rnacentral:sRNA from 1 species